GACGAACGCUGGCGGCGUGCUCAACACAUGCAAGUCGAACGGAAAGGCCCCUUCGGGGGUACUCGAGUGGCGAACAGGUGAGUAACACGUGAGUAACCUGCCCUUGACUUCGGGAUAACUUCAGGAAACUGGGGCUAAUACCGGAUAGGAAUCCUUGCUGCAUGGUGGGGGUUGGAAAGCUUCGGCGGUUUUGGAUGGACUCGCGGCUUAUCAGCUUGUUGGUGGGGUAGUGGCUUACCAAGGCUUUGACGGGUAGCCGGCCUGAGAGGGCGACCGGCCACAUUGGGACUGAGAUACGGCCCAGACUCCUACGGGAGGCAGCAGUGGGGAAUAUUGCACAAUGGGCGGAAGCCUGAUGCAGCAACGCCGCGUGCGGGAUGACGGCCUUCGGGUUGUAAACCGCUUUCAGCAGGGGCGAAGCUUGUGGUGACGGUACCUGCAGAAGAAGCACCGGCUAACUACGUG
rnacentral:rRNA from 1 species